CCUACGGGACGCACCAGUGGGGAAUAUUGCACAAUGGGCGCAAGCCUGAUGCAGCCAUGCCGCGUGUAUGAAGAAGGCCUUCGGGUUGUAAAGUACUUUCAGCGGGGAGGAAGGUGUUGUGGUUAAUAACCGCAGCAAUUGACGUCACCCGCAGAAGAAGCACCGGCUAAUUCCGUGCCAGCAGCCGCGGUAAUACGGAGGGUGCAAGCGUUAAUCGGAAUUACUGGGCGUAAAGCGCACGCAGGCGGUUGAUUAAGUUAGAUGUGAAAUCCCCGGGCUUAACCUGGGAAUGGCAUCUAAGACUGGUCAGCUAGAGUCUUGUAGAGGGGGGUAGAAUUCCAUGUGUAGCGGUGAAAUGCGUAGAGAUGUGGAGGAAUACCGGUGGCGAAGGCGGCCCCCUGGACAAAGACUGACGCUCAGGUGCGAAAGCGUGGGGAGCAAACAGGAUUAGAUACCCUUGUAGUC
rnacentral:rRNA from 1 species